rfam:Flavobacteriaceae bacterium TMED68 147121, whole genome shotgun sequence.
AGAUGAGAUUUCUUUUAAGGGUCGUAGGAGACUACUACGUUGAUAGGUCACAGGUGUAAAGGCAGUAAUGUCAUAGCCGAGUGAUACUAAUUACCCGUAGGUCUAUUGUG